rnacentral:lncRNA from 1 species
CGGCGCUUUUUGCUCCGCCCUUGUGAGAGCCAAGUCCGUUUCCCCAGUCCCAGUCCUGGCCGGCUGCGGCUGUACGGACUGUGGCGCCGUCUCGCCCCCGUGUGGUGGGAGGAGGAUAGCCCAGAUUUAAGCUACCUGCCAGGAACUCUACACCUCCUUGGUACUUGGCAUGGCUGUGUUGGAUCCAUGCAAAACCGUGCCUGCUGUAGUUUCUACACCAGUUCUGCCAAAAGGAAAGCGAUUCCAGGGGCUGCUGGAGAACUAUGAUGCCUUGACUUGAAGCUGCACUGAUCAUUCUGAUCUGUUUUGUACGUGUGUAAGUCUGCACACCGGAAGAAGGCAUCAACGAUGAAUUGCUAUGUGGUUGCUUGGAAUUGAACUCGGGACUUCUGGAAGAGCAGCUGUGCUCUUAACCACUGAGCCAUCUAUCAAGCCCUGACAUUGGUCACUUUCAUAUGCUUAUCUUUCUUAAAGGACUUCAGCUCUGUAUUUUUG